rnacentral:rRNA from 1 species
GGGUUGUGAGGUUAAGCGACUAAGCGUACACGGUGGAUGCCCUGGCAGUCAGAGGCGAUGAAGGACGUGCUAAUCUGCGAUAAGCGUCGGUAAGGUGAUAUGAACCGUUAUAACCGGCGAUUUCCGAAUGGGGAAACCCAGUGUGUUUCGACACACUAUCAUUAACUGAAUCCAUAGGUUAAUGAGGCGAACCGGGGGAACUGAAACAUCUAAGUACCCCGAGGAAAAGAAAUCAACCGAGAUUCCCCCAGUAGCGGCGAGCGAACGGGGAGGAGCCCAGAGCCUGAAUCAGUGUGUGUGUUAGUGGAAGCGUCUGGAAAGGCGCGCGAUACAGGGUGACAGCCCCGUACACAAAAAUGCACAUGCUGUGAGCUCAAUGAGUAGGGCGGGACACGUGGUAUCCUGUCUGAAUAUGGGGGGACCAUCCUCCAAGGCUAAAUACUCCUGACUGACCGAUAGUGAACCAGUACCGUGAGGGAAAGGCGAAAAGAACCCCGGCGAGGGGAGUGAAAAAGAACCUGAAACCGUGUACGUACAAGCAGUGGGAGCCUCUUUUAUGG